rnacentral:rRNA from 1 species
AUGCCAUGCUUCCAGGAAAAGCCUCUAAGCUUCAGAUUGUAAGGAAUCGUACCCCAAACCGACACAGGUGGUCGGGUAGAGAAUACCAAGGCGCUUGAGAGAACUCGGGUGAAGGAACUAGGCAAAAUGGUACCGUAACUUCGGGAGAAGGUACGCUCUUGAUGGUGAAGUCCCUCGCGGAUGGAGCUGACGAGAGUCGCAGAUACCAGGUGGCUGCAACUGUUUAUUAAAAACACAGCACUGUGCAAAAUCGUAAGAUGACGUAUACGGUGUGACGCCUGCCCGGUGCCGGAAGGUUAAUUGAUGGGGUUAGACUUCGGUCGAAGCUCUUGAUCGAAGCCCCGGUAAACGGCGGCCGUAACUAUAACGGUCCUAAGGUAGCGAAAUUCCUUGUCGGGUAAGUUCCGACCUGCACGAAUGGCGUAAUGAUGGCCACGCUGUCUCCACCCGAGACUCAGUGAAAUUGAAAUCGCUGUGAAGAUGCAGUGUACCCGCGGCUAGACGGAAAGACCCCGUGAACCUUUACUACAGCUUGGCACUGAACAUUGACCCUACAUGUGUAGGAUAGGUGGGAGGCUUUGAAGCACGUACGCCAGUAUGUGUGGAGCCGUCCUUGAAAUACCACCCUUGUAGUGUUGAUGUUCUAACGUCGACCCCUUAUCGGGGUUGCGGACAGUGCCUGGUGGGUAGUUUGACUGGGGCGGUCUCCUCCCAAAGAGUAACGGAGGAGCACGAAGGUGGGCUAAUCACGGUUGGACAUCGUGAGGUUAGUGCAAUGGCAUAAGCCCGCUUGACUGCGAGAAUGACAAUUCGAGCAGGUGCGAAAGCAGGUCAUAGUGAUCCGGUGGUUCUGAAUGGAAGGGCCAUCGCUCAACGGAUAAAAGGUACUCCGGGGAUAACAGGCUGAUACCGCCCAAGAGUUCAUAUCGACGGCGGUGUUUGGCACCUCGAUGUCGGCUCAUCACAUCCUGGGGCUGAAGUCGGUCCCAAGGGUAUGGCUGUUCGCCAUUUAAAGUGGUACGCGAGCUGGGUUUAGAACGUCGUGAGACAGUUCGGUCCCUAUCUGCCGUGGGCGUUGGAAGAUUGAAGGGGGCUGCUCCUAGUACGAGAGGACCGGAGUGGACGAACCUCUGGUGUUCGGGUUGUGUCGCCAGACGCAUUGCCCGGUAGCUAAGUUCGGAAUCGAUAACCGCUGAAAGCAUCUAAGCGGGAAGCGAGCCCUGAGAUGAGUCUUCCCUGAUACUUUAAGUAUCCUAAAGGGUUGUCGGAGACUACGACGUUGAUAGGUCAGGUGUGUAAGUGCUGUGAGGCAUUGAGCUAACUGAUACUAAUUGCCCGUGAGGCUUAACCAUACAACACCCAAGGGGUUU